AAAGUAGCAAUACUUUGGUGGCGACCGGCGCACGGGUGAGUAACGCGUAUGCAACCCCCCUUAUCAGAGGGGAAUAACCCGGCGAAAGUCGGACUACUACCGCAUAAAACAGGGACACCGCAUGGUGAUAUUUGUUAAAGAAAUUCGCUGAUAGAUGGGCAUGCGUUCCAUUAGGUAGUUGGUGAGGUAACGGCUCACCAAGCCGACGAUGGAUAGGGGAACUGAGAGGUUGGUCCCCCACACUGGUACUGAGACACGGACCAGACUCCUACGGGAGGCAGCAGUGAGGAAUAUUGGUCAAUGGGCGAGAGCCUGAACCAGCCAAGUCGCGUGAAGGAAGAAGGAUCUAUGGUUCGUAAACUUCUUUUGCAGGGGAAUAAAGUGCAGGACGUGUCCUGUUUUGUAUGUACCCUGAGAAUAAGGAUCGGCUAACUCCGUGCCAGCAGCCGCGGUAAUACGGAGGAUCCGAGCGUUAUCCGGAUUUAUUGGGUUUAAAGGGUGCGUAGGUGGUUUGAUAAGUCAGCGGUGAAAGUUUGCAGCUUAACUGUAAAAAUGCCGUUGAAACUGUCUGACUUGAGUGUAAAUGAGGUAGGCGGAAUGCGUGGUGUAGCGGUGAAAUGCUUAGAUAUCACGAAGAACUCCGAUUG
rnacentral:rRNA from 1 species